rnacentral:rRNA from 1 species
UACGGGGGGGGCAAGCGUUGUUCGGAAUUACUGGGCGUAAAGGGCUCGUAGGCGGCCAACUAAGUCGGACGUGAAAUCCCCAGGCUCAACCUGGGAACUGCGUCCGAUACUGGAUGGCUUGAAUUCGGGAGAGGGAUGCAGAAUUCCAGGUGUAGCGGUGAAAUGCGUAGAUAUCUGGAGGAAUACCGGUGGCGAAGGCGGCAUCCUGGACCAACACUGACGCUGAGGAGCGAAAGCCAGGGGAGCAAACGGG